rnacentral:rRNA from 1 species
UACGGAGGAUGCAAGCGUUAUCCGGAAUGAUUGGGCGUAAAGCGUCCGCAGGUGGCUGUGUAAGUCUGCUGUCAAAGAGCAAAGCUCAACUUUGUAAAGGCAGUGGAAACUACAUAGCUAGAGUACGGUCGGGGUAGAAGGAAUUCCUGGUGUAGCGGUGAAAUGCGUAGAGAUCAGGAAGAACACCGGUGGCGAAAGCGCUCUGCUGGACUGCAACUGACACUCAGGGACGAAAGCUAGGGGAGCGAAUGGG